rnacentral:misc_RNA from 1 species
GAGUUGGGUAGUUGGAGACCCUUUUGAUCCAAAAGUCAAUCAGGGGCCUCAGGUUGAUAAGAAACAAUUCGAAAAAGUUCUCAGUUAUAUUGAAUAUGGUAAGCGAGAUGGAGCUACCUUGUUAACUGGAGGAAAGCCAUGUGGCGAGAAUGGAUAUUACAUUGAACCCACAAUCUUCACAGAUGUCAAGGAGGACAUGGUGAUAGCCCAAGACGAAAUAUUCGGUCCAGUCAUGUCUCUCAUGAAGUUCAAGACGGUCGAAGAGGCAAUCGAGAAAGCAAACAAUACGAGAUAUGGGCUAGCGGCUGGGAUCGUUACGAAGG